UUCUCUCUUAGUUGAGUUAACUUGUUCUUGCAUAUCAUCAAAAAUGGCUUCUUACCCUAUUAAGGUUGUCAGCACUGUAACCGCUUCAAUCAAGUGCAGACAAGCUAGUGAAGUUCCUCGGCUGGGCUUCAACCGAUCUCAAAAACCUCCUGCCCGACGUCUACACCCAAAUCAUAGUCUACGAGACCACACCUGACUAUAUUAAGAGGUUCAAACUCGAAUAUGCUAGUGGAUUUCCAAUCGUGUGGGCAGAAGUCAACAUCGAUGUAAUGGACAGAGCAAAUAUGGUAUGCAUUUACCAUGUACAUAUACUUACAAAUGGAGAUGCUGGAGAUUUCAAUACACGCGGCACCACGAUUAGAGUGAUCGAAGUGCUAAGACCAUAUGGAAAUGGCAGUAAAGUGGAGUAUACCUACGAGUUUGAGAGAGCAAACACUGAAGUUGGUCCUGCCUUCUUUGAAUUUGAGAUCUCCAAUCUCAUUAAGCUCGAUAAAAAACUAGCUU